rnacentral:rRNA from 1 species
CCUACGGGAGGCAGCAGUAGGGAAUGUUCGUCAAUGGGCGCAAGCCUGAACGAGCAAUGCCGCGUGAACGAGGAAGGUCUUCGGAGCGGAAAGGUCUGUUGAAGGGGAAAAAGAGCGGAGAGAGGAAAUGAACUCCGAUGGAUAUUACCCUUCGAGGAAGGCACGGCUAACUACGUGCCAGCAGCCGCGGUAAUACGUAGGUGGCGAGCGUGAUCCGGAAUGAUUGGGCGUAAAGGGUGCGUAGGCGGCCUGCUAAGUCUGGAGUGAAAGGUACCGGCUCACCCGGUAUCGGCUCGGGAAACUGGCGGGCUAGAGCGCAGGAGAGGUCGGUGGAACUCCAUGUGUAGCGGU